UUACGGGCAUAUCAUGUUGAAACACCGGUUCUCGUACGAUCACCGAAGUUAAGCAACGUCGAGUCCGGUUAGUAAUUAGAUGGUUGACCGUUUGGAAAUACCAGAUGCUGUA